GUAGGUUCAUUUUGGAAUAGAGUUGCAUCUAGAUGGGAUCUAUUGAUCUUGAUAGAUUAGGAGUGAUUCUAUUUGAUUUAUAAGACUAUGUUCGAUAAAUUGUUGGCCAAGUAUUUUGGAAAAAGAGUUUUCCAUAUCUCAAACUGGAAGUUGAAUAAAUUUGACAUAUGACGGACGAUGAGGUUUGACGAGUUAUCCAUAACCUCCAUCCUGUCAGAAUCCAUGAUAGAGGGACUGUAUCAUACGCUAACUGCACCUAGAGGUUCAGACAUUUCAUUCUGAAGAAGUUGUUGCCCACGAUGACAACCAAGAGGGGGGGUGAAUUUGGAUUUUCUAAAAAUUAUGUUCCCUAAUUUUUACUUUGAAUUGAAUGCAGCGGGAUGAUAAGAUGCUACUUACUUAAGCUCUAGG
rnacentral:lncRNA from 1 species